rnacentral:rRNA from 1 species
ACAGAGGUCCCAAGCGUUGUUCGGAUUCACUGGGCGUAAAGGGUGCGCAGGUGGCAUGGUAAGUUUGAUGUGAAAGCCCCGGGCUUAACCCGGGAAUGGCAUUGAAUACUAUCGUGCUGGAGGUUUGGAGGGGGGACUGGAAUUCUUGGUGUAGCAGUGAAAUGCGUAGAUAUCAAGAGGAACACCAGUGGCGAAGGCGAGUCCCUGGACAACACCUGACACUGAGGCACGAAAGCUAGGGGAGCAAACAGGA